AUGAGUGCCUUUUCUUGGAACUGUCGUGGACUUGGCAGCGGCGAGAUAGUGAGAGAGCUUCAUGAAUUUGUGAGGCAAUAUGCCCCUACUGCUCUUUAUGUAGUCGUGACUCGAAUACAUAAAGUCCAGGUUGAAAAACUAGCGGCUACGCUAGCUUAUGACAAGUGUUUUACCGUUAGCAGCUCAGGUUGAAGUGGUGAACUCAUCAUUUCCUGGAAUAAAAUUUUACAUGUUGAGAUCUUAUCAUAUUCGUAA
rnacentral:rRNA from 1 species